ensembl:snRNA U6 U6 spliceosomal RNA
GGGCUCGCUUCGGCAGCACAUCUACUAAAAUUGGAACAAUACAGAGACUAGCAUGGCCCCUGCACAAGGAUGACAUGCAAAUUCGUGAAGCGUUCCAUAUUUUU